UUGUGAGGAAGCCUAGGCCACAUGAAGAGGUCACAUAGAUGUGUUCCAGGCAGCAGCCACAGCAGAGGUCUCAAUCAGCCAUCAUACAUGUGCUUAAAGGUGCCUUCAGAUAAUUUUGCUUCUCAGAUGUCAAGUCUUCCAUCUGGGGUCCAAGACAUCACAGGGCAGAGUCAAGCCUUCCCCUCUGUACACUGCUCGAAUUCCCCGCUCACAGAAAUUGUGAGUAUAAGAAAAGGUUGAGAGAGGUGUAAAUGGCUCUUAUUUGAACCACAGUGAAUCCACAUAUUCAAGUUGGCUUCUUGGGAAAUUUCAGGCCACAAAUGGCAGUAAUGUGAUCAGGAGCAGUAACAUGUAGCACUUUCAUCUGGACAGAACGAACCCAGGCCAAGCCCUGAUGGGAGGAACGGGAGCCACCAAUGAGAGCAGACCUCAGAAGGCCAACAGAGGUGAGAGGAGCCCCAUCCACAGUCCCAUCCUCUGGAUGCUGUGGGCAGAGGUGCACAGAAUGCUGCCCCUUGGAGUGAGUCGGUAGCAGAGCCCUUGCUGAUGGCUGCAAAUGCCCCAUAAAAACGUGUUUGGGAUGAUUCUGGGACCUGGUUUCAAUUUCUUUUCUGCCAGUCAGCAGUUGUGCUUGACUCACAAUUUGUUGCCAUCUCCUGAAUUAACUCAGGAACCGGGAAAAAGAUCAGAACCACAUUGUAAAGGCUUCCUUAUGGUUCCUUUUCUGCUAAGGUAAAUAAUGGGCAGCUCUGUUCCACCUCUCUGGAGAGCUCAGACCACACUACCAGGAGCUCCUAGCUGCAGAGUGAGCACAGGCUGCUGGUCUCUAGAUGAGGAAAGACAGCAGUGUCCAAUCUACCCUGCUUUGCACGAGCCCCAGGUGCUCUCCCAGACCGUGUUGCUACAUAAAGCACAUGGUGAUUGCGUGAUGCUAACCAGAGCAGCCCGUCACUCAUUAGAAACAUCUGCUUUGCUUUAUUUACACAAGAAAAGCUUUUUCUUUUACUGAGCCUACCCAGUUCAAACUUAAGUGGGAUUUGUCAACUAUCUGGCUAAUUUUAUUUUCAUGAGCAAUAAUAAAGAUUGGUGAACACUUGG